UACGUAGGGUGCGAGCGUUGUCCGGAAUUAUUGGACGUAAAGAGCUCGUAGGCGGUUUGUCGCGUCUGCCGUGAAAGUCCGGGGCUCAACUCCGGAUCUGCGGUGGGUACGGGCAGACUAGAGUGAUGUAGGGGAGACUGGAAUUCCUGGUGUAGCGGUGAAAUGCGCAGAUAUCAGGAGGAACACCGAUGGCGAAGGCAGGUCUCUGGGCAUUAACUGACGCUGAGGAGCGAAAGCAUGGGGAGCGAACAGG
rnacentral:rRNA from 1 species